UAGGGAAUCUUCCAUAAUGGGCGAAAGCCUGAUGGAGCAACGCCGCGUGUGUGAUGAAGGGUUUCGGCUCGUAAAACACUGUUGUAAGAGAAGAAUGACAUUGAGAGUAACUGUUCAAUGUGUGACGGUAUCUUACCAGAAAGGAACGGCUAAAUACGUGCCCG
rnacentral:rRNA from 1 species